UCUAAGAUGUCUGAAUCGCCAAUCUUGUGUUUCAAAAUUGCAUUCAUUGUAAUUCGCAACUGUAUUUCAAUCUUGUUCUAACUUUCUUCUUUCGUAUUUCGUCCAAACUGAAGAUACUUUUUAACGUUAACAGACUAUAUAAACAGAUUUAAGUUAAGUAAAAUAAUUAUUAUUAGUUGCUAGAGCACGGCAAUAAUAAAGUUCAAGAUGUACCAUUGUAAUUAAAUUUCGGCAAUAAACGCCCAAUAAAAAAAAG
rnacentral:misc_RNA from 1 species